rnacentral:tRNA from 1 species
AAAACCCGUCGACUUUAUAAGUCGUGGGGGUUCAGGUCCUC